CUUUUCACCUCCUUUUUCCCAAGUCUAUUUUCUAAAUAGGGUUGUCUGAAAUAAUCUCAUUUUUAUAAAGUCAAGUAUCUUAUGACGAUCAAACUUGAUAAUUAGUGUACAAGAAAAUGCAGACUCUUAAAAGGGUAACUUCAAAAAGACUUUUUCCUCCUGGUGGCUGUUUGCCCAUGAACAUGCCUUCCAAGCCAGAAAGAGGCUCCAAGCUCCACUGACCACAGGAAAUUCCAGCCAAGAUUCUAAUCUCCUCUGCAGAAGUCAGUACAGAGGCAAUGGAUGGGAACAACACAGCAGAGAAUGCUAUUGAAUUUGGUGUGUCCUACAAAUGAGGAAACACUGAUAUCUCCCCAGAAUCACAGUCAACAUGGAGAUGCUCUAAAUAUAAAAACAGCAAGACCAUAACUUUUCAAUGGCCCUGAGACCCAGCUGCCUGCUUUCAUAUCACAUGCCAGCCCCAUGAAGAUGUCCUGGAAGCUCACUGGAGCUUUUCAACUAGCAAGGAGCACCCACUAAAAUAAGAGUAUGGAAGACUGCAUUAAGAGGAAGGAUGAAACAGAUGCAAUACACAGUUAAGAUCAAAGAGCCCCAUCAAUUCAUUCAGAGAGUCAAAAAUCCAGCUGAGGCUCAGAGCCCUGUCUGCAUAAUAAGAAAGGUUGACUAAAACAUACGGAUUAAACAGAUGAGCUGUCUCCUGCAGAGGCAUGGGAGGGAAGCCCCACUGCGACACUUGUAAAGACACUUUGGAAGCUCGCACCUGCUCCUCCACAGCCAAACCUACAGGAGACCAGGAUGGCCAAAGACGUUCCACUAUUGUACUAAAUUGUUAGCUUUAAGAGAAAGAAAUAGAUAUGUCUGAUGGAUAUCUUUUUAUUUGUCAAGACACUGUCAGUCCAGACAAACAAUAAAUUAAUAAAUCACCUCCAUUUUUCCAAGGUGACUUUACCAAGCGCUUGAACUUUCAAAAUAAGAGAAGUAGAUAGUGCAAAAUUUCCUGUUCCUUAAAACAGUAUUUCAGUGUGCCUACCUCGUGAUCAAUUAUUUUUUCCAAAUGAAUAAUGCUUUUCUUGAGACAAUCUUGAAUAACAUUGGUAAAUACAUGCUAGUCUUGUUUUCCAUUCUCAGAAAAUUAUCAUUUUUAGUAGCAUGAAGUGUAUUUCAAUUUUUAUGAACACAUUGCCACAUUAUACUUAAAGCAAAACCAAAUUAUAUAAGCUGGUUCUAUAACUAUAGUAAGAAGAUAGCACAGGCACUUAGGAUUCUGUGCCUGUGAGAAAUGUUGUAUUUAUUCUAAUGACCUCACAAAAAAGUUAUGUUGUAGCUACUGAUAAGAACCGAUUCUGAACAUCUAAACAAUUUUCUUUUAAGAAAGCUGAACUACUUUCAAAGAGCUAAGCAAGCUAGGCCUUUGGGAACAUAGAUCUACUGGGGAAAAAAUUAUACGAUUGUGGAACAUUAAAUUUCAAAUAAAAUUUUAAAACUCUAACUUUGGUAUGGAUAAAAUUUGUCACGCACUUGAUGUAGACUGAUUCAAAUAUGCAAUUAAUAAACUCGAACAAAUGGUAAGCAUUAGCUUUUGUUGUAGUCACCAAAACAAGCAAUAUCCAAUUUGAAGAGAUAGCAAUGAAAUCUCCCUGGAGUAAAACAAGCCACCAAAUGUCAAGAAGUGAUUUCCUGGGAUUGACGUACAGACUCUGACCUGCUCCUUCAUAGUCUAAUUACAUUAUCACUCAGUCAACCAACCAACACACUUUUACAGUGUUCAUUAUGUAUAAGGGACUGUCAGAGACAAAGAGAAGAAUUAUACAUGAGCUGUAAGUAACAGUACUAAACCCUAAGUACCAAAUGUGUGAUGAAGAUGUACAAUGCAGAAGUUGACCAUUGAGGGAUAAAGAUAUAGAAUUCUUCAUUGAAGAGGUGAGAUUUGGUUGGGUGCAGUGGUUCGUGCCUGUAAUCCCGACACUUUGGGAGGCCAAGGCAGGACAAUAGCUUGAGGCCAGAAGCUCAAGACCAGCCUGGGCAAUAUAGUGAGACCUCAUCUCUAUAAAAACAUUUUUUUUUUUUUAAUUAGCUGAACAUGGUGGCAGGUGCCUGUAGUCUCAGCUACUCUGGAAGCUGAGGCAGGAGGAUCCUUGAGCCCAGAGUUUGAGAAUGCAGUGAGCCAUGAUUGCACCACUGCACUCCAGCCUGGACAACAAACAGAACGAGACCUUUUUUCUAAAAAAUGCAAAAGGUUGGAUUUGACUUAGGACUUGAUAAGGUAAAGACAGAAGUAGAGAGGAGGGAAUUGGUUUUCCAGGAGGAAAGAACAGAGACAGAAUAACCUAGAAUCCAGUCUGAGAGAACUUGAGAGGGAAUGUGUGAUUCAGUCUGUCUCAAGAUAGUCUUGAGAAUCGCCUAACAUUCUUAUUGAAAACUCAGGUUAUCAGACCCAUUCCAGACACUGAGAAUUAGAAUCUUCAGAGAUGAGACCUGGAAAUUGCAUUUUUGAACAAGGUCACAAAUUAUGAUAUUAUUGUUAAUCUCUAUGAGGCAGUGAGAAACCUUUAAAGCAUUUUGGGAGAAGUGAACUAAAGGAUAUAGUUAAAGGACUUUAAGAAGGGAGGGUUGAGAGAGCAGGAAGAAACUGUGGGCAAGAAGUUCAAAUCAGAAUUUUUAAAUUUUAACCAAAGUGUAUGGUAAUAAUAUUCAUCUUUGCUCCAAAUAAAUAUCAAUAGUUUCAGUUCUCUUAAAAACAGAAGUCCUUAAUCCCAAAUCUCAUCAGAUUUUUCUAUGUAUCAGUAUUCCAAUUUAUUUUUUAAGAAUGACUUAAAUUGAACUAAUUUCAAUAAAACAUUUCUAUUUAAAAAAAACUUUUAAAAAGUGCUCUACUUUAUCUCUGAUAACUCUACUUCAAGUAUCCAUUUUCAGAAGGUCUUACUCAAUUCUAACCAUUCAGAGAAAUAAAAAUAAGUUUGGAUAAUUAUUAGAAAAAUUAAUAAAUCAUCCAUAAAUACUGAAAUAUUUGUCAAAAAUUAAGAGACUAAGUAAUAUUCAGUGCUGGUGAAGGUCCUGUGAAGAGGACAAUUGAUACUUAUUUAUGGGAGUUGAAACUGAUACACCAUUUCAAGGAACCACUGGUAAUACGUAAGAAAAAUUUUAAUGCACAUAUUCCUUAACAAUAAAAAAGUGACUAUAGUCUAGCUUAGAAAAGUAACUACAGAAGCCCAUGAUGAUAAAUAGAAGGAUCACACAGAGACACAUACACAGAUGUUCAUAUAAUUAUUAAUUUACAGAAAAAAAGUGUGAGACAAUUUACAAGAACAUCAGCAAAGGCAUAGUUACAUCAAAGUGCAUGUGUAGUAUGGAAAACUAUGCAGUUAUGAUCUCAAAUUCUGAAAAACCUGUUAUUGUGGGAUAAUGCUCAAGAUGAUUGAUUUGAACAAGCAAAUUAUAGAAAAAUACAUAUAGAAUAAUCCAAUUUUUAAUGAAAAAAGCAGUGUUUCUAUGUGUAUAUAUAUAUGUUUUUCUUUCUUUAAAGAAAAACCUUAACUGGCAGAUCUGGAGAAUGGAAAAAGAAGUGAAGAUAGGGCUUUCCCCUUUUGAUUUACAUGUCUGUAUCACUCAGAUUUUUUAACAAUGAGUAAAACUCUUCUAUAACUUAAUAAACUUAAAAUUUUAACUUAUAUAAUAUUUGAAAAAUAUAUUAAAUGCUUGCCCAAGAUUUUAAAUAACUUGGGAAAAUAGUGCCACUUGAAGAUGGUGUGAAGGAGAAGCUGGCUUCCUUUCUGUUUGAUUAAUUCUCAAAAUUAAGUGAAAUUACGGUCUUUAAAAACCAUUCAGAAAAGUGAAUGAUGUAUGUAUUGACUUUUAUGUUACAAAAAGCUUUCCAUUUUUAUUCAUCUAUCAAUCUUUCCAUCUGAUAAGAGGAGAGUUUAUAAUAUCUAAUCUUUAAAGAGUAGAGUCUGAAAUAAAUACAUACACAUAAUACUAGAACUUAUAGGCUAAAUUAUGUAAUUAUGAUACUUGAUCAUUCAUUAGAUACCUUUCAUAAGACUAUACAACUCAUAAUAAUACUAUUAGGUAUUUACUUCCCAUAGAAUAUUGUAAAUGUUAGGUAUUUACUUCCCAUACAAUAUUGUAGCUUGCAAUAUGCA
rnacentral:lncRNA from 10 species